GCAGAGUGCUGCAGGAGGACUGGAUUGGACUGGAUUACAAUUAUGUGGCCUCAAGAAUUCGCUAGGGAGCAUCCAAGAAAAUGGACUAAAUAGAUCUUCCCCAGUCAAGAUUCAGGCAAUUAUGCAAAAUCAACUUGUCAAGAUUUUUCUGGCAGUUCUCAGAGAAGGUAACACUGGAGAAAGAAUCUUUACAAGGAUAUUCAAAUGCUGUAUAACAGAAAUACUCUUGGCAAUUUUUACAUCAUUCAGAACCUGCUCAUAACAUAAAUUCAGAAUCAAUACAUAGUAAAAUAACUUGAUUUUUGAUGUCCAUGUAAGGUGGGCUCUACUAGACUAAUAAAGUCGAGUGACAGCAAAAACCA